AUUUUGUUUGAAGCAUGUUCAUGAUUAAAUCUGUAUGCUGGCUUAUUUGAGUGACUGCUCUCUGAUUGCGGUUUCCUCAGUCCUAGUUCUUCCUCUUCUUCUUCUUCUUUUUUUUUUUUUUUCUUUUCUUUUUUCUUCCCUUUCCUUCCUUUCUUUUUGGUUUAGGGAAGCCCUUUCAAUAUUUCCUUUAACCUGGGUUUUGUGUUGCUGUAUUCUUUAAGUUUUUGUUUGUUGGGAAAAAUUUUUAUUUCCCCUUCUAUUUUAAAUGAUAUUCUUGCUGGAUAAAGUAUUCUAGGUUGCAUAUUUUCUCCUUUGAGCACUUUAAAUAUCUCUUGCCAUUCCCUCCUGGCCUGUAGUGUUUCUGUAGAGAAAUCAGCUGAUAUUCUUAUGGGGGUUCCCUUGUAGGUAACAUUCUGUUUUUCUCUUGCUGCCUUUAGGAUCCUCUCUUUAUCACUAACUUUUGCCAUUUUUAUUAUGAUGUGUCUUGGUGUGGGUCUGUUUGGGUUCAGUUUGUUUGGGGCCCUCUGUGCUUCUUGUAUCUUGAAUCCAGUAUCCUUUAGAUUUGGGAAGUUUCCAGCGAUAAUUUCUUCAAAUAUAUUUUCCAUUCCCUUAUCUUUUUCUACUCCUUCUGGAAUUCCUAUUAUGCGUAGAUUGGCCCGUUUUAUAUUAUCCCAUAGGUCUCUUAUAUUGCUUUCCAGUUUUUUGAUUCGGUUUUCUGUCUGUUGACCAGAUUGAGUGAUUUCCAUUAUUCUAUCUUCCACAUCACUGAUUCGUUCUUCUGCAUUAUUCAUUCUGGUUUUUACUGCCCCUAGUUCAGUUUGCAUCUCUGCAAAUGAAUGUUCUAGUUUUUCUUGGCUCCUCCUUAUAUUUUCUAGCUCCUUUCUGAGGGUAUCUGCAUUGCUGUUCAUAUCUUCUCUUAAUUCCUUCAGUAUUUUCAGUAUUUCUCUUUUGAAUUCCAGGUCUGUCUGACUGCAGAGAUCUGUUUCAUUGUUGACUGUUUUAGGUGAGUUCUCCUGUUGGUUUGACUGGGGGUGGUUUCUCAGCUUCUUCAUCUUGCUUGUUGUUUUCUUUCUUCUGAGGAUGUUGUACUCUCCGUUAUCGGGCAGUGUUUGCCUUGUCACUGCCGUGGAAUGUUUCCUGAGAGCUGGAAUUGUUGGUCAGUCUUUUUUCAGGCAGUGUGGCUUUUCUGGAGUGUUGAUGGGGCUAACAGUGUUUCUUUGAAGCAAAGGAGUACUUCCUGAGGGCAGACAGGACUGGGAGGUCCACACCACGAUGGUAGCAGAUUUCACUUGGUCAUGCAGAGCUUGCUCUGGUGUUUUUAGGCUGUGGGGUUCUUGCAGGGGGUUGGCGGUGUUGGGCAGCUGUUCCUCAGGCGUGCAGCACCCCCUGGGGGCUGGAGCAGCUAUCUGGGUCCCUGAGAACCUAAGAGGCUCUUCCCUAGGGCAGCCCGACUCAGAAGGACGGCCUGAGAAUGUAGGCGGAUCUUUUCACAGUCUGGCCGAGCUUGUUGCAGCUUUUCUGGGCUGCAGGGGCUCUUCCAGGGGGCUGGUGGUGCUGAGCAGCUAUUCCAUGGGAGUGGGGCACCCCCUGGGGCUUGGGCGGGUAGCAGGGCCCUUGGAGACUCAAGAGGCUCCUCCCAGGGCAGCCCGACUCAGAAGACCGUCUGAGAUCUUUUCCCAACUCGGCCAGGCUUUUUGCAGCUUUUCUGGGCUGCAGGGGGUCCUGCCUGGAGCUGGCAGUCCUAUGCAGCUGGUCCACUAGGUCUUAGCACCCCCUGGGGUCUUGGGCGGGUAGCAAGGCCCUUGGAGACCCAAGAGGCUCCUCC
rnacentral:lncRNA from 1 species